rnacentral:lncRNA from 1 species
CACCUCCUAGUGGACCAGCUGAAGCACCAAUAGGUGCACCACCUCCCAGUGCAUCUGCUGCAGCAGCAGGCACACCAAUAGGAGCACCACCUCCAGGUGCACCAGCAGCAACACCAGGCACACCAAUAGGAGCACCACCUUCUGGUGCACCAGCUGCAGCACCAAUAGGUGCACCACCCACAUCAAAAGCUAGUGAACCUGCUUUGGAUGAUAAAGCUCCUAGUUCAUCAGCAGGGAGUAAUCCGGAUAUGAUUGCUUCAGCAGAAAGUAAUCCAGCAGUAACCGCAAGUGACACACCAGCACCAGAUGCAACUGUGGCAGAUAAA